GAUGAAUGAGGAAGCUUAGCGCCUCAGAGAGAAUCUGCUGUGUGUAAGCACAAGUGUGUUUAGGCACAAGACUUGACACCCUCACAGCUGGAGAGAAGACAUCCGGAAACGGGACAGGAGUCAUGGAGAGGAAACUGAGAGCUGUGCUGUGGAUUCUGUGGGUGCAGAUUUACUGGGUGAGAGGAGUUGAGGUGGAGCAGAGUCCUUCAGCCCUGAGUCUCCACGAGGGAAACAAUUCUACUCUGUCAUGCAAUUUUUCUACCACUAUGGCAAUUGUGCAGUGGUUCCGGCAGAAUUCCAGAGGCAAUCUCAUCAGUCUUUUUUACCAGGCUCCAGGAAGAAAGGAGCAUGGGAGGUUAACGUCAGUAUUCGACUCCAAGGAGCGCUACAGCACCCUGCACAUCAGGGAUGCCCAGCUGGAGGACUCAGGCACCUACCUCUGUGCUGCGAGUGCACAGUGCUCCCCGCAGGCCUGCAGCCUGUCUGCAAACUGCAGCUGGGUGUGCAGCUACAGCCCUAACAUGAGCAGACUCUGUAGGAGGCUUUUCACAGCUGUGACUUUAUCAGAUCUCCAGCAAUUACAAAGAAGGUGUGAGGAAAUACAAAAAUACCACAGCUUAAACUCAAAUUGGCAUGACACUGACUUGAGGAAGCUUAAAUGUUCAGAAACAUCCCAAACAUGACUAAGAUGUACACAUUUAUUUUAUCAAAUGCUAGCGCUAAUAUCAUGAAAU